UCAAAUUUGAAAUCUGGCCCCCAGGGUCCGAGCUUGUAAUUUGUAGAGGAUGCUUUUGGCGCGGUGCCUUCCGAGUUCCCUGGAACGGGACGCCAUAGAGGGUGAGAGCCCCGUCUGGUUGGACGCCAAGCCUAUGUAAAGCUCCUUCGACGAGUCGAGUAGUUUGGGAAUGCUGCUCUAAAUGGGAGGUAUAUGUCUUCUAAAGCUAAAUACCGGCCAGAGACCGAUAGCGCACAAGUAGAGUGAUCGAAAGAUGAAAAGCACUUUGAAAAGAGGGUUAAAUAGUACGUGAAAUUGUUGAAAGGGAAGCGUUUGUGACCAGACUUGGGCUCGGUUGAUCAUCCACCGUUCUCGGUGGUGCACUCUGCCGGCCCAGGCCAGCAUCAGUUCGCGCCGGGGGAUAAAGGCUUCGGGAAUGUGGCUCCUCCGGGAGUGUUAUAGCCCGUUGUGUAAUACCCUGGUGCGGACUGAGGUUCGCGCUCCGCAAGGAUGCUGGCGUAAUGGUCAUCAGCGACCCGUCUUGAAACACGGACCAAGGAGUCGUCUUCGUAUGCGAGUGUUCGGGUGUCAAACCCCUACGCGUAAUGAAAAUGAACGCAGGUAAGAGCUUCGGCGCAUCAUCGACCGAUCCUGAUGUUCUAGGAUGGAUUUGAGUAAGAGCAUACGGGGCCGGACCCGAAAGAAGGUGAACUAUGCCUGUAUAGGGUGAAGCCAAGGCGGGUGAGGCUCGCAGCGGUUCUGACGUGCAAAUCGAUCGCAAAUAUGGGAGGGGGGCGAAAGACUAA
rnacentral:rRNA from 2 species